rnacentral:rRNA from 1 species
UGGGGGAUAUUGCACAAUGGGCGAAAGCCUGAUGCAGCGACGCCGCGUGGGGGAUGAAGGCCUUCGGGUUGUAAACUUCUUCUGCUCUGAACAAGGCAUGCCUUUGGGGUGUGUUGAGGGUAGGGGUUGAUUAGCGCCGGCUAACUACGUGCCAGCAGCCGCGGUAAUACGUAGGGCGCGAGCGUUGUCCGGAAUUAUUGGGCGUAAAGGGCUUGUAGGUGGCUGGUUGCGUCUGUCGUGAAAGCUCAUGGCUUAACUGUGGGUUUGCGGUGGGUACGGGCUGGCUUGAGUGCAGUAGGGGAGGCUGGAAUUCCUGGUGUAGCGGUGGACUGCGCAGACAUCAGGAGGAAUACCGGUGGCGGAGGCGGGUCUCUGGGCUGUUACUGACGCUGAGGAGCGAAAGCGUGGGGAGCGAACAGG